GAUGAACGCUGGCGGCGUGCCUAAUACAUGCAAGUCGAGCGAACAGACGAGGAGCUUGCUCCUCUGACGUUAGCGGCGGACGGGUGAGUAACACGUGGAUAACCUACCUAUAAGACUGGGAUAACUUCGGGAAACCGGAGCUAAUACCGGAUAAUAUAUUGAACCGCAUGGUUCAAUAGUGAAAGACGGUUUUGCUGUCACUUAUAGAUGGAUCCGCGCCGCAUUAGCUAGUUGGUAAGGUAACGGCUUACCAAGGCAACGAUGCGUAGCCGACCUGAGAGGGUGAUCGGCCAAACUGGAACUGAGACACGGUCCAGACUCCUACGGGAGGCAGCAGUAGGGAAUCUUCCGCAAAGGGCGAAAGCCUGACGGAGCAACGCCGCGUGAGUGAUGAAGGUCUUCGGAUCGUAAAACUCUGUUAUUAGGGAAGAACAAAUGUGUAAGUAACUAUGCACGUCUUGACGGUACCUAAUCAGAAAGCCACGGCUAACCACGUG
rnacentral:rRNA from 1 species